GGUGGCUGGUUGACUCGUCACAUGUCACAACGAUUAGUGCCAAUUAGCCUGAUCGUGCAGUGAUGCCAGCUGGGUCACGCCGCCAUGCCUCCCUCUCUCCCUUCUCUUCUUUUCCCCUACCUCUCUCUCUCCUCUGAACUGCUCCCCUCUGCAGGUGCCGCCAUGGCCGCGUCUUGGAGCUCGCCGCCGUGGGCUGCGCGCCCCUUCGAUGACGGCCUUCGUCGCCCACGUCCAGGUCCUCUCAAUCCUAAUUUGAUACGCCAUGAGUGGGAGCGGAAGCUGCAAUGUCAAGAUCCGCAAGCAGGACAUGAACCACCUUGCCAUGAAUUUCAUCGUCACAUUAGGAUUCAUCGCCGCCGCCAAUAGGUUCUGUAUCAAUUCCGGCACCCAACGUACUGUAUGCCCACACGUUUAAAUCAUGCCGCUCUUACUCCUGCAAUACUCCAAGAAUAGUACUUGAGAUUUAGGCAGCAGUGGCCAUGGUAAUUAAUUUUUAUUUAGUUGGUUCAGUUACUAUCAUUGGAAGUGCCAGACAUAUCUCACCGUCAAGAGUAGCGCUGCAGGGUCAUUCACCUGGUUGGCCUCUUAUUAACUGGUGUUGUUGUGUCCAUGUGGAAGGAGAGCCCGUUUCUCCGGGAUGCCGGCGCUGACAUGCUCACCGUAGGCGCCGUCAUGGCGGUGCUCGACUUCAGGGAGGAGGUCGGCAACCACCACUUCUUGGACCAACGUAAAAAUGUCAUAAAUACAGUCACAAACCCAUCAGAUCUAUGCUAUGGAUGCCGUGGUGAUUGCUGGAAGGGAGGAUUCCUGGGAUGAUGAGAAGGUAUGCAGAUUCAUACUAUUCCAAGUUCAGACUGAAAUCUAAACUAAUGAAUGUAGAAUUGUAGACACAAUAUUUUUGUUGAUGCUGGUCAUCAAGUAAUUCACGAAGUUGGGAUGGGGGGGGGGGGGGGGG